rnacentral:tRNA from 1 species
GGAAGGUUGUCCGAGUUGGCCGAAGGAGCACGCCUGGAAAGUGUGUAGGGCGCCACAAGCGUCUCAAGGGUUCGAAUCCCUUACCUUCCG